UUAGCUAUUAUUAGAUACGUUUGUAUUCAUCAGGAUACAAACGGACAGGUUUGUAUCUAUGAUGGCUAAUGUGCUUCAACGCGUCACCAGCCACGUAGGUAACUCUAAGUGGCUGCGAAUAGUGCGAAAAUAGGUAUUGAUUUCUUUCGUAAUUUUCAAUCGUCCACUUAGACUAUCUAA
rnacentral:ncRNA from 1 species